rnacentral:rRNA from 1 species
CCUACGGGCGGCAGCAGUGAGGAAUAUUGGUCAAUGGACGAGAGUCUGAACCAGCCAAGUAGCGUGAAGGAUGACUGCCCUAUGGGUUGUAAACUUCUUUUAUCAAGGAAUAAAACGAGGCACGUGUGCCUUUUUGCAUGUACUUUAUGAAUAAGCAUCGGCUAACUCCGUGCCAGCAGCCGCGGUAAUACGGAGGAUCCGAGCGUUAUCCGGAUUUAUUGGGUGUAAAGGGAGCGUAGAUGGGUUGUUAAGUCAGUUGUGAAAGUUGGGGGCUCAACCGUAAAAUUGCAAUUGAUACUGGCAGUCGUGAGUACAGUGGAGGUAGGCGGAAUGCGUGGUGUAGCGGUGAAAUGCUUAGAUAUCACGAAGAACCCCGAUUGCGAAGGCAGCUUACUAAACUGUGACUGACAUUGAUGCUCGAAAGUGUGGGUAUCAAACAGGAUUAGAUACCCGAGUAGUC